UUAAUUUAGUAAAACUCUAAAUACUCCAUAAAUCAUUGGACUAACCACUAUAAAAUUGCUAUUCCCUAGAGAAAAGAAGACAACAAAGGUUCCAAACCUCUUUGAACUUCAUCAUAUGUUAUUCCAUGACUCAACUAUGCAUUAAAACAGUAUUGUCAAAUUUUUUGAAUUUUCUCGAAAUCUAUGUGUAACCCCCCCUACGAAAAUAUUGAGUUUUCAGUAAAUGCUCUAUAUAUGAAGCCUAUAAUCUUUUAAUUCGUUUUAAAAUUUAUAACCACAUUAUACAUUUGUAUUAAUUUAUGAUAAACUUCUUUUCAUGGUACAUGGACAUCGUUCUAAUUUUUUAUCAAUUAAUUUAGCAAAACUGCAAAUACUCCCUAAAUCAUUAGACUAACCACUAUAAAAUUGUUAUUCCUUAGAGAAACGGAGACAACAAAGGAUCCAAACCUCUUUGAACUUCAUCAUAUUUUAUUAAAUGAUUCAAAUAUGUAUUAAAACAGUAUUUUCAAUUUUUUUUGAAUUUUUCUCAAAAUCUAUGUGUACCCCCCUACGAAAAUAGUGAAUUUUCAGUAAAUGCUCUAUAUUUGAAGCCUAUAAUCUUUAAAUUUGUUUUAAAAUUUAUAACCACAUUAUACAUUUGUAUUAAUUUAUGAUAAAUUUCUUUUCAUGGUAAAUGGACAUUGUUCUAGUUUUUUAUCAAUUAAUUUAGUAAAACUCUAAAUACUCCCUAAAUCAUUGGACUAACCACUAUAAAAUUGUUAUUCCCUAGAGAAACGGAGACAACAA
rnacentral:lncRNA from 1 species